CCUACGGGAGGCAGCAGUGGGGAAUCUUGCACAAUGGGGGAAACCCUGAUGCAGCGACGCCGCGUGAGCGAUGAAGCCCUUCGGGGUGUAAAGCUCUUUCGACGGGAACGAUUAUGACGGUACCCGGAGAAGAAGCUGCGGCUAACUACGUGCCAGCAGCCGCGGUAAUACGUAGGCAGCAAGCGUUGUUCGGAAUUACUGGGCGUAAAGAGUGUGUAGGCGGUUUCGCAAGUUCGGUGUGAAAUCUCCCGGCUUAACUGGGAGGGUGCGCCGAAAACUG
rnacentral:rRNA from 1 species